rnacentral:tRNA from 1 species
CCGGGAUAGCUCACUCGGUAGAGCAGAGGAUUGAAAA